AGAGUUUGAUCCUGGCUCAGAACGAACGCUGGCGGCGUGGAUUAGGCAUGCAAGUCGAACGCGAAAGUGGGGGCAACUCCACGAGUAGAGUGGCGAACGGGUGAGUAACGCGUGAGAAACCUGCCUUCAUCAGGGGGAUAACACUCCCAACGGGGUGCUAAUACCGCAUGAGACCACGGGAUCGCAUGAUCCUGAGGUCAAAGGUGGCCUCUAUUUAUAAGCUACCGGAUGAAGAUGGUCUCGCGUCCCAUUAGCUAGUUGGCGGGGUAAUGGCCCACCAAGGCGACGAUGGGUAGCUGGUCUGAGAGGAUGGUCAGCCACACUGGGAAUGAGAUACGGCCCAGACUCCUACGGGAGGCAGCAGUCGAGAGGCUUCGGCAAUGGGGGAAACCCUGACCGAGCGACGCCGCGUGGGGGAUGAAGGCCCUUGGGUUGUAAACCCCUUUUAUUCGGGAAGAAAUGUGAUCAGGUGAAUAAUCUGGUCAUUGACGGUACCGGAGAAAAGUCCU
rnacentral:rRNA from 1 species